CCAAUAGCGUAUAUUAAAGUUGUUGCAGUUAAAAAGCUCGUAGUUGAAUUUCGGAAUCUGUCCGUUGGUCGGGCUUAACUGUCCGUACUUAUGUGAUGGGUUCUUACCUUCUGAAUAACCAUCAUGCCAUUAAUUUGGUGUGUUGGGGAAGCAGGACUAUUACCUUGAAAAAAUUAGAGUGCUCAAAGCAGUCUAGCGCCUGACUACAUUAGCAUGGAAUAAUAAAAUAGGACGGCAUGGUUCUAUUUUGUUGGUUUCUAGGAUCACCGUAAUGAUUAAUAGGGAUAGUUGGGGGCAUUAGUAUUCAAUUGUCAGAGGUGAAAUUCUUGGAUUUAUUGAAGACGAACUUCUGCGAAAGCAUUUGCCAAGGAGGUUUUCAUUAAUCAAGAACGAAAGGUAGGGGAUCGAAGACGAGCAGAUAACGUCGUAGUCUUAACCAUAAACUAUGCCGACUAGGGAUCGGACGAUGUUAAUUUUAUAAUGACUCGUUCGGCGCCUUACG
rnacentral:rRNA from 1 species